AUUGAACGCUGGCGGCAGGCCUAACACAUGCAAGUCGGACGGUAGCACAGAGGAGCUUGCUCCUCGGGUGACGAGUGGCGGACGGGUGAGUAAUGUCUGGGGAUCUGCCCGAUAGAGGGGGAUAACUACUGGAAACGGUAGCUAAUACCGCAUAACGUCGCAAGACCAAAGUGGGGGACCUUCGGGCCUCACACCAUCGGAUGUGCCCAGAUGGGAUUAGCUAGUAGGUGGGGUAAUGGCUCACCUAGGCGACGAUCCCUAGCUGGUCUGAGAGGAUGACCAGCCACACUGGAACUGAGACACGGUCCAGACUCCUACGGGAGGCAGCAGUGGGGAAUAUUGCACAAUGGGCGCAAGCCUGAUGCAGCCAUGCCGCGUGUAUGAAGAAGGCCUUCGGGUUGUAAAGUACUUUCAGCGGGGAGGAAGGCGGUGAAGUUAAUAGCUUCACCGAUUGACGUUACCCGCAGAAGAAGCACCGGCUAACUCCGUGCCAGCCGCCGCGGUAA
rnacentral:rRNA from 1 species